rnacentral:lncRNA from 1 species
AUGUCGGGCCUUCUGACCAGCUCUCUUCUGCUCUUCCUCUCCCUGACGCUGUUUCAGAUCCCCACACCAGAGGCAAAGCCUCUCUCUACCAUGCGUGGAGGAGGUCGCAGCUUUGACACCCAGGCAGGUGGAGUCCGUCUGCGAAGAGACCUGCGUGAUUCAGUGCCCUACGAGGCCCAGAUGAUGUCUUACCCCGCUGCUGACUUCAGGAGUCGGAGCAAUGAUCUGUACUACCAACCAGAGGUCUUAAGAGCUCAAGGUGUUGGACAAGCCCUCCAGCGGCUAGUGGAGAAUGAUCAGAGGCGGGAUCAGGAAGCAGCAUAUCUGGCAUCAAUGCUGCGUCUCCUGAACGAGGCACAGAAUAACGGGCAGGGCAAACCAGAGGAAGAGGAGGAGGAGGAGGGUGAUUUCCAGGGCCCGUACCCUCCAGACUACGACGAGACCGAGCAGGCUGUGAGCAUGGCGAAGCCCCAGGCCUCAUGGCAGGGCCUUCUGGAUCCUCAGCUUACUCAGGCUCUACUCAACCGCUACAAGCAGGAGAGACUGAUGCAGGCUGGACUCGCUCCGAACACCAACAGGAUACCAGAGAGAGAGCAGGACAAAGACCAAGAGAUGCUCAGGUACCUUGUUGAGAAGAUCCUCUCCAGCUUGGGAUCGGGUGGCAAUCAGGGAGGCCCUUCAAACCAGCGUGCUAAACGGGACCUGAGCAUUGUGGCCAACAUGGAGCAAUCUGGAGGAUCCGCCCUAAAACGCUCCCGCCGGUCCUUGGACUCCGCCCCUGGCCCCUCCCCCCAUGCUGAGGCAUCACUGCUGAGGGUGAAACGGCUCGAUGGCGACAUGGACGACGACGAGGUUGCAGGGCAGAGCAACAGAAUGCCACACGUCGGUCUACAGAGAAUGAAGCGCAUAGACACUGACCUGCCACCCCCCAAAAACCACAGCCGCAAGCGCAGAGCCCUGACCUACGACCCCGCUCUGAUCGCACAGCACAUCCUGCAGUACCUGCCAGCCUAAAGAGUAUGUGAAAGUGAGAGGAAUAAAAGGGAAAUGUUUGGGGAAAUAGAGAGAAAUCUAGACAGACAGAGCAAGCAAGAGUUUCAGACGGGACUGCAACAUUUCACUAGAUUACAGAUACGCCAGUGUUCAUUGUCAUCUGCCUAAAUCUAUUCAAGGCCUGCUUGCCGAGGUACUCUGAUAUGAUGAUACUCUGUUUCAAUGUUAUACUAUAAUAAAUCCCACACACAUAACAGCUUAUGAAAUAUGCUUUUUGUUUUUCUUCUUUCUAGCUACAUUCUACAGAACGUAAGCCCUUUUCCACCACGGAACAAAAAAAAUAAAAAGGUAACUGUGACUUUUUUUUCUUGCAAUUCUGGGUUUAUAUCUCACAAUUCUGACAUAAAAUCAGAAUUGUGAGAUCAAAAGUCGCAAUUACCUUUUAAAUUUUUUUAUUCCAUGGUGGAAACAGGAUUCCAUAGUACAGGCAUUAAUUGACCAUACUGACAUGGAAAUAAUUAGUUAUUGACUUGCACAAGUAGCUUGUUGCUGUUUUUGUCAGAAACAACAGGAUCAAAGUUACAUUUAACUUAAUUACAGAUUCAGAUUUUAAGUGAUGCUACACUAUAAAUAAGAUCUGUUUGAAUAUUGCUGCUGAUAACCCACUUGGUUCUUAAAAACAAAACCACAGCUUGACCAGGGUCAUGUAAGAGUGCAUUUAGGUGACGUUUUGUCGUGUACAUUGUUCUUACUGUAAGCCAUUUGCCACUUGGCAAUCCUGAGUUUCUCAGCAGAUGAAAGGAGCAUGACUCUGUUUCCUUAGAGAUCCAAAUAUAUCAGAGCUUUGCUACAGCUACAGUGAGUUUGGAGAUGCUCUGUUUCAUAUUGUGAGCAAAGUAACAGUAACUCACAGCUCAAUCAGUAACAGGCUCAAUCAGUGUCUACACCUACAGUACUGUUUAGAAAUGAAACUUAAUUUAGAAUUUAGAAUUUUUUUUUAGAAACAAAUGAUUGAGAAACGAAAAUGUCUGAAAUCUAUUUAUUGCAUAAGAUAUCCAGUACAGGUUUAAACAGCACAACACAUCAGAUCAGUUGCUUUAUACAGCAGUAAUCAGCAGCACUACAUGAGUUUAGACUCAAAAAGAGCCUGUCUAAAUGUCAAACAUGCUCUAAGUUAGUUUCCUGUCCUCUCUUUCUCUGAUUGGCUGUCUAAAGUAGUGUGCCAUUUUCUUAGUGUCAUAUGCAUCCUAUCAAAGCUUGAUGAAGUGUUUUUGUCCCUUGACUUGGCUUUGAAACACUCUGUCUGAUACUAAUCGCUGUCCCAACUUUCUGCCCUCUGGGUCUGUAAUCUGACUGUUAUGAAUUUGUGAAGGAAAUCGUAGCUAUAUAAUCGUAUAUAAAUGCUUAUUUGUGCAGUCAUAAAAUCUUGUACAAAAAUACAUUACUGCAAAAAUACAAUACUGCAAGUUUUGUCAAACAACAAAAAUCAGUGUAAGUGCUAAUAAAGUGUAUGUGAACUACAACAUUUUGUUUAGAACUCUGCAUUGCUUUUACAGUGGAAGUGGAUUAGAAAAUACAUCACAUUCAACAUUUAAUGCAACGGCUUGAUAAAGUCAUAACCUAUUAGCAUUAUAUCUGAAACAAGCACAACUGACAAUGACUUUUUAUAUUUUAAUGGUGGCUGAAGACAAUUACGAUUAAAACAGUGACAUGCAGUUUGAAAGUCAGCAUGAAACAAAAGUUGGAAUCUACUUUACUACCAUAUUGUGAUGUGUUUCCAUGUGAAACAUGAGAAAUUUAUCAUUACGGUACAUCACUUGCUCACCAAUG